GAGAGACGGAGAGAUGCUUCUGAAAGUCAGUAAGAGGAAGGGAAACAUGAGCAGCAGUAUAUAGAGGACAAACUUUGGAGGCCAGGAGAUUUGCAGCUUGGUCAUUGAUGAAGGAGAGUCUCAGCCAACUGCAAACGUUCCAGCAGCUCAGUUGAAGUAAAGGCUUUUAGAAUAUCUUGCAACUGAGGGGAUGGGAGCACCAAAGGUCAUGUCUGUGUGUCUUUGAGGGAGCAUGGAAGGCCAAUGGAUUCCAAAUUCACUGCAGCUACAUGACGUUGUUGCCUGGAAUAACACUGGUAACUGGAGAAAUGUAGGCAUCUCAGAGUGACACAUAAUAACAAUAUGUGUCAUGAACCACUGAUUAAAACUGAGAUAAAGUAUGAAGAGCCAAUAGUCUACUCAAAACAAUUAUUAAGCUCUGUCCAAGCAGAGACGGUUUUGGAACAGAAUAAAGAUCAGAUGUAGAAAUGAGAAAGCAAAGGAAUCCAAAUGCUCAAAAUUCCUUACAGUGCUUCCAGAUGCAGCUGGCAAAGAUGUAUUGACUUUAAAACCUCAACAGAAAAAGGCAGCUCUGUCCCAUCCAUUUCUUUCUUUAUCCUGUACAAGGAUGCUUCUGUGCUCCAUGGAAAGAAUUCAUUAAUACUUGAGCACUGAAAGAAGAAACCCAGAAGGAAUAUUUUGGAUACUUCAGACCUGUUACCUGGAAUUUCCAGGGCUGUGCCUGAGCAGCAGAGUUGCUCCUGGAGCAUUGGUCACCUGGAGGCUGCUGGCACACAUCUUUGUCCCUCACUAGGGCCAUCAGGGAGAGGAGGACCCAGACAACUGCCCAUCUUUCUCUCAGUGGAUUUUUCACUUGUUGCGACUUGUGCUGUUUCUCCACCACUACCAGAGGCACUGAUGACAUCCUGCAUAAAAAUACAAGGUGGGAUACUUUGGGCUGUAUGCUAUGCAUCAGUAUAUAGAUGAUGUCACUGGUUCUGCUGUAUGGAGGCAGAUGUGAAGCCAUCAGGAAGACAACCCUUGUCACAGAACUGCUGGCUGCAUAUCUACUACACAGUCAAAACUUAAACUGCCUGUGACAAACAAAACAAUAUAUUCAUAAACAGUAUAUCGAUCUUGUGUAUCACAUCAGUCCUUAAGAAAAUACCACUUCUGACUUCACCAUGGAUAAAUUAUUUAAUUCCAUCUGAGUUACGGAUGUUCUCAAGGGGAUACUGAGCGUUUCUUAGCAUUUUAUGAAGAAAAAUAAAUUGUAUGUUGUUUUCUGAUCAUGACAAAUAUAUUUCCAGAAGAGUAAAGAAGUUGGGCUAUGAUACAGAAUGAGUAGGAAGAAAUGCAAGUGAAAUUUACAAAAUACCUACGUAAAUUAGAAUUAAUGCACUGAACAGAUUCAGUUUAACAAGAGUGGGCUGAUUUGGAAAACUGAUUAUGAUUUUAAUAUUAAUUCUUGAGGACAGAGAAGUAAUCUAGAAUAAUUUGGAGUCUGUGGUUUUGAAUACAUAGUACCAUCUUAACUGGUGGCUAAAUUAUUACAGAACAAGUUUUCCAUGCAUCACCUGCACUCAGCUGUCUGUCAAGGUUGCAUGAUGUAUUUCUGUAACACUUCAGAAUAGAUGUUAAAGAGCUUAUAUAUUUUUUUUUCUUUAUUUUUUAACUGAAGGAUACCCUAUUUGAAAUACAUUUGCCUUUACUAUGGGGUUAAGGGGAAGCUACUUUGCGCUUGCUGUGUCAAGGCACAUAGACAUUUAAUAUUUUUAGACCAAAGAACUUUCUUAAAAGAGGAAAGCAGUCACUAUCUGGGGGAUAUCUGUUUUUAAGUAAUCCGGUUAAUGAAGGCAUACUGAAAGCAUUCCCCAGACAAUUUAAAUAACUGUUACUGUUUGUCAACCCCAAUGGUAAGAAUAGGAAAUUGUAAGAAAGAAGUCUGAAAAAUCUUUACUCAUAAUACAGGAAGUCUUUCAAUAUUAAACGAUGCAAUGGCUAUACUUGAGUCAUCUUAAUGGUAUCAUAUCCUGAUGCCUUUCCGUUAGAACCAUUACAAGUUUUAGGAGCUGACAGCUUGAAAAUCUUACUGAAGGGAAGAAAUGCAGCUGAGGCAGAUGAAAUACUGAAAGACUUCAGGACUUGGUCAUCCUCACUUAAAAGGACUUAAAAGCUCUCUCUCUUGUGAGUGCUGUAAAAUGCUUUUCUUGUGUUAUGUUCUCCCAAGAUGUGUGUACAAAUUGUUUGAGAAUGCAUACAAAGAACAAUUCAUACAGAGUUUGAAGAACAGCAGUAUGGUUGCAGAAGAGGCAAAAGCUAAUGGGCAUUUGUACAGGCAAUGCAAUACCUGGAGCAGGACAACAGUUUGCAUAGCUUGUGAGGAAGGUGAGGGCUGUGCAGGACAGGCACUCAUGACUGUAAGCACCUAGUUCUACAUUUCCAUGAGGAAUGCUGGAUUCCAAAAAAAAAAAUAUAUAUAUAUAUAUAUACAUAUAUGACAAAGCUUCUAUGGAUUUCUAAGGCAUCCUUAUCUUGCUCAUUUUCUUGCUUUACUGGGCGUCUGCUUAAAUAGUGAAGAGUUCUCCUGUGGUUGUCUCUCAAUGCCUUCACCCAAUCCUUUUCCUCUUUGUCAAAGGGCUAGAAAUUUGUAUAUUGAUAUUUUCCAAUGCAAAAGUGUUUUUCAUAAGAAAGGGUUUAAAGAGCACACUUACCUGAUAAGCCAUUUCCUCAGAUUUCCUGAUAGCUGUGAGCACAGGCCUGUCCUAGCAAAGCUACCAGGCUCCAGUCAGAUUGCUCACCAUGACAAUAAUCUCAGUGUCUACUUAAUGCACCUUUCAUAUCAUAUUAUUAAUGCUAUUAACAUUCCUUCUGAACAGAAAUUCAAUAUUUUGUUUUUAACAUUUGUGUAUAUACAGAACAAAUAUAUUUCACAUUUUGCUGUUUUCUGCUCAA